UACGUAGGGCGCAAGCGUUGUCCGGAAUCAUUGGGCGUAAAGAGCUCGUAGGCGGCUUAGUAAGUCGGGUGUGAAAACCCCAGGCUCAACCUGGGGACGCCACCCGAUACUGCUAUAGCUAGAGUCCAGCAGGGGAGUGUGGAAUUCCCAGUGUAGCGGUGAAAUGCGCAGAUAUUGGGAGGAACACCAGCGGCGAAGGCGGCACUCUGGGCUGGUACUGACGCUGAGGAGCGAAAGCGUGGGUAGCGAACAGG
rnacentral:rRNA from 1 species